ensembl:lncRNA
CACCAUUGGUGCUGCGGCUCCCAGGAACACCCGCUGCCUGUGAAGUGUGGUACCACUGCCAGGCUGGAGGCACACGGGGUUCACCCAACCCCAGCAGCAUCAGUCCCUCCUCUCCAGGGUGCAGAGCCCCAGCAGUGCCUGCAGCUCUCACCUCCCUAUGCCACACUCCCCCUUGCCCACGCUGCGUCCCCGGCACGGCAUGGCACACUUCCCACUGUAGCCCAGCCCUGGCCUGGUUCUGAGGACAAUGCCUGGAACCAGAACCCGGUGACACAGUGCCUGGCCCAGGUGCUGCACAGCAAAUCACUCCUGGUACCACUGUACCCAGUACUGGCAGGGGCCAAACCUUCUGGCAGCCUCGUGCUGCUCUCAUGUGUUCACACCCUCACAUCUCUGUGCCAUCCUUGUGCCACACUCCAGCCAUGCUGCCGAGGCACGGAGCGGAGCUGUGCUUGGUGCCAUGCCCUGGGAUGGCUGCGUCCCGGCAGGGCUCGCGGAGCUUCACAGUGCUGCCAGAGGAGGGAUCGACUGCAUCGACAGCAGCUGCUGCUCCGUGCUUCUGUCCAAAAAGGUCCAGCUCCCUGCGCACCCAACAGCUCUGGGCAGUGCUUUAGGACAUCUGUCCAGGAAGAGGGUAUCGGCUCCAAUCACAUCUGGGUACCGUCUGGGGCAUACUGUGUGUGUUUGGCUGCUGAGGAAUAUCAACAAAUACGAAUUAUCAGCAGCGUGGCCAGAGUCUGCAGGGG